ACACCUCAACUCUUCAUGGUUUGCCAUGAUGAGCUUGGAAUUUGGGGGUUUUGCUGGCCUAUAGCCAGCUCCUCUCAAACUUAUCAGCUUGCCAGUGUCUGGCAGCAUCACAGGUGUGAUAACUAUCUAAGCCCGUGGUUGUCUGCCAAGUGACCUUUGGUGACAGAGGUUUGCUGGAGCUCAUAAACGUCUCUCCUCAGUGAAGACAGCUUUUUGACC
rnacentral:misc_RNA from 1 species